rnacentral:rRNA from 1 species
UACGGAGGAUGCGAGCGUUAUCCAGAUUUAUUGGGUUUAAAGGGUGCGUAGGCGGAUCGUUAAGUCAGUGGUCAAAUUGAGGGGCUCAACCCCUUCCCGCCAUUGAAACUGGCGAUCUUGAGUGGAAGAGAAGUAUGCGGAAUGCGUGGUGUAGCGGUGAAAUGCAUAGAUAUCACGCAGAACCCCGAUUGCGAAGGCAGCAUGCCGGCUUCCUACUGACGCUGAAGCACGAAAGCGUGGGGGUCGAACAGG